UACGUAGGCAGCGAGCGUUGUUCGGAGUUACUGGGCGUAAAGAGUGCGUAGGCGGUUUUCUAAGUUUGGUGUGAAAUCUCCCGGCUUAACUGGGAGGGUGCGCCGAAGACUGGAAGGCUUGAGUAUGGGAGAGGUAAGCGGAAUUCCUGGUGUAGCGGUGAAAUGCGUGGAUAUCAGGAGGAACACCUGCGGUGUAGACGGCUUACUGGACCAUAACUGACGCUGAGGCACGAAAGCGUGGGUAGCAAACAGG
rnacentral:rRNA from 1 species